UACGAAGGGGGCUAGCGUUGUUCGGAUUUACUGGGCGUAAAGCGCACGUAGGCGGAUCGUUAAGUCGGGGGUGAAAUCCUGGAGCUCAACUCCAGAACUGCCUUCGAUACUGGCGAUCUUGAGUCCGGAAGAGGUGAGUGGAACUCCUAGUGUAGAGGUGGAAUUCGUAGAUAAUUAGGAAGAACACCAGUGGCGAAGGCGGCUCACUGGUCCGGUACUGACGCUGAGGUGCGAAAGCGUGGGGAGCAAACAGG
rnacentral:rRNA from 1 species